CCCAAAAUUAAUUGGUGACUCAUAAUAACUUUACGGAUCACAUUAAAUGUGACAUAUCAUUCAAGUUUCUGACCUAUCAGCUUUAAACGGAAGGGUAUUGGCCUACCGGGGCAAUGACGGGUAACGGGGAAUUAGGGUUCAAUUCCGGAAAGGGAGCCUGAAAAACGGCUACCACAUCUAAGGAAGGCAGCAGGCGCGCAAAUUACCCAAUCCUAAUACAGGGAGGUAGUGACAAAAAAUAACAAUACAGGACUUUUUGGUUUUGUAAUUGGAAUGAGUUAAGUAUAAACCCCUUUACAAGUAUCAAUUGGAGGGCAAGUCUGGUGCCACCACCCGCGGUAAUUCCAGCUCCAAUAGCGUAUAUUAAAGUUGUUGCAGUUAAAAAGCUCGUAGUUGGAUUUCUGUUAAUAAUUUAUAUAAAAUAUUUUGAUGAUUUUUUUAACAUUAUCAAAAUUCUUCUUAUUAUAUUUUUUUUUAUAUGAAAAUUUUUUUUUAGAAAAUAAUAGGGCUGAUAAAAGGAGGAUGCUUCCUUGACUCCUCCAGGAAGAAAUAUUAAAAAUUUUUUUCUUCUUUCUUGUUGCUACAAAAAAAAAAAUAAUGAUUAGGAAGGACUGGGGGCGUUUUUUUUUUUCAGCCGAAGGAGAAAUUCUUCUAUUUUUUAAAAACAACCAACUGCGGAAAAAUUUGCCGCGAAGGUUUUUUUCAUUCAUCAACAACAAUUGUGGGAUCAUCGAAAACCAUAAACCGCCGUAGUCUUCUCCACAAACAACGCCACCUACAAAUGAUGGGAGGUUGCUCCCUUCCAAAAUAA
rnacentral:rRNA from 1 species